UUUCCGCCCACGCGGGACCGUGCUGCCGAGCAGGGCGCUUACUGGUCACCGGGUUCCUGCGGCCGCCGCGUCCUGGGUCCGUGAAGCGAGCCUCCGUCGCCCCGGGAGUGGGAAGGUGGCACGGCCAGGGGAGCCGGCAGAGGGAGGGUCCGUCCUCCUCGCGUGGAGCCCUGUAGCUCUGCCCUCCCCGCGGGCGACAGGGAGGGACUUCAGGAAAGAGCUGGGGGAGCCCGUGUUGAUUCGUGCUCGAGUCGGGCAUCAGGACCACCCCCUGCCGCCUCCGCAGACCUGAUGGGCGAUGGGCGAGUGCGAGGCGGGGGACGGUGUGCACCCCGCGCCGGCUGGGUGGCGCUCGAAGAGCUGUCCAUGGUGUCUGUCGUCAGGGAGGCAGCAGGAGGCUGUUCCCUGGCUGUUUCAGUGUGUUCUCCGAGCUCCAGGGGCGAUGGAAGAGUGCUCAACCGAAUGCAGUGGAGAGUGGGGGAAGCCAGCAACCAGAAACUCCAGGCAGUCAAACAAAACAUGGCUGUCACUGUCGAUUUGCCAGCCGUGGAAUUUUAUAACUAAGGGCAUCACACUGUUUCAAACUAUCUUUUUAAACGAGACAUUAUGUCUAAAACUUGUGUCCAGCAGAAUUAUUCUGCCUAUACUUCAGAGACAAAAAUGGGAGGACAUUGUAGUCCCUGGGGCUUUAGAGAGGAA
rnacentral:lncRNA from 1 species